rnacentral:lncRNA from 1 species
UAAGCUUGUUUUGACAAACGGAUAUGUAACUGAUUCGGACCAUUUAUCACCCAACGCAGCGCUGUUGGCAAAGGCACUGUGCACCAAAGAUGGAGAAAUUGACGUCAAAUGUUACAGAGAUAAACUGCUUUUGUCAAAUGGAUACGCAGCUGAUUCAGACGAUUUAUCACCGAACACACUGUUGGCAAAGGCAUUAUGCACCAAAGACGGUGAAACCGAUGACAAAUGUUAUAGAGAUAUAAGCUUACCUAAGGAAUGGGGCAGUGUUAUUAAGAGAGCCAUUCAAAAGAAAGGGUAAAUACAUUUUCUUUCUU